GAUGAACGCUAGCGGCAGGCUUAACACAUGCAAGUCGAGGGGCAGCGGGGUGUAGCAAUACACUGCCGGCGACCGGCGCACGGGUGCGUAACGCGUAUGCAACCUACCCAUAACAGGGGCAUAACACUGAGAAAUUGGUACUAAUUCCCCAUAACAUUCGAAGAGGCAUCUCUUUGGGUUGAAAACUCCGGUGGUUAUGGAUGGGCAUGCGUUGUAUUAGCUAGUUGGUGAGGUAACGGCUCACCAAGGCGACGAUACAUAGGGGGACUGAGAGGUUAACCCCCCACAUUGGUACUGAGACACGGACCAAACUCCUACGGGAGGCAGCAGUGAGGAAUAUUGGUCAAUGGACGCAAGUCUGAACCAGCCAUGCCGCGUGCAGGAUGACGGCUCUAUGAGUUGUAAACUGCUUUUGUACGAGGGUAAACUCACCUACGUGUAGGUGACUGAAAGUAUCGUACGAAUAAGGAUCGGCUAACUCCGUG
rnacentral:rRNA from 1 species